GUACAACUGUGUGUUGCACAUGUCCUCCAUUUGUGCUUUGAAGGUUGUGUUUAUCCUUUCAUUAUGCAGUUCGAUGAGCACCCUUAAGGUUUGUUUGACGUGUGGCUCGUUCAUUUGGCACAAUGAAUAUUUUACGGAAGAAAGUUCACGAUUGAACUGCUCUGCAACAGAUGAGUUCACCUCUCUCCGUAAACUGGGGCAGAUGUUGAGGCUUCUCAACUUCUCUUCAGGCCUUCUUUGAUUUUUCUGGUGGAAUCUGUCGUACAGAGAGUACCUAAUGGGAUGCCUUGCUGCCAUCCUAUCAUUAUCUGGCAUUUCCUGCAGUGGUAAUGUUGAUCGCAGGUUCUUCACCCACUGCAGGUCAACCUUUUUAAUUGUUUAUCAGCCGCCAGUUUCAUGUUGUUUGAUGUUGUGCCACAGAGUCUUCCGUCAAAUGGCUGGAAAUAUUGCUGUUUUGUGCGUGACGAGCAACCUGUCCUGCAACGUCCGAAAUGUAACAGAAUACACACUCUGAAGCGGCACAAUCAAAAAAUGAUGCAACGUCAGAAAAGGCCUGAUGUGAACCUGUGAAAAAAACACUAUGCAAAGUCACCAACUCAAGAGUCAUUGGAUACAUUGAAGAGGACGGU
ensembl:lncRNA